CUAGGGCGUUGGUCUAAUUUGGGCGCCCCGCUGUUAACGGGGAGGUGGGAGUGUCUCACGUCU
rnacentral:tRNA from 1 species